GGUUCUGUCCACAAUGUGCAUUUUUGGGGAAGAGGAAAGAGGGGUUUGUGCUUGUUUGAAGUCAAGCGGCAGCUUCCCCAGCACUAACCCUGAGUAUUUGCCUGGAGUGUGAUUCUGGAAGGCUUGGGGUAGGCCACAGGCUGAGACUCCUUCCCCCUGUCCUAGCGAACGGCCCCACAGCUGCUCAGCCCAAAAGCCCUCUAUCUGGGAAACCCCUCACACGUCAGUCCUCUCUAGCCCAGAGCAGC